rnacentral:rRNA from 1 species
CCCGCCCCCCUCCAAAUCCUACUAUUUACCCGGNGAUUGUUUGUUUGGUUUUAGGUUGGGGUGACCGCGGAGUAUAAGAUAUCCUCCAUGAAAAAAAGCUAACUGCCCUUAUUAGAGAAAGACACUUCCAAAAAAUAAUAAAUUAAUUUUAAAUGAUCCGACAUUCGAUCAACGAACCAAGUUACCCUGGGGAUAACAGCGCAAUCCGUCCCGAGAGCCCCUAUCGACAGGCGGGUUUACGACCUCGAUGUUGGAUCAGGGUAUCCUAGUGGUGCAGCAGCUACUAAAGGUUCGUUUGUUCAACGAUUAAAACCCU